CGACUUGGAGGUUGUGCCCUUGAGGCGUGGCUUCCGGAGCUAACGCGUUAAGUCGACCGCCUGGGGAGUACGGCCGCAAGGUUAAAACUCAAAUGAAUUGACGGGGGCCCGCACAAGCGGUGGAGCAUGUGGUUUAAUUCGAUGCAACGCGAAGAACCUUACCUGGCCUUGACAUCCAGAGAACUUAGCAGAGAUGCUUUGGUGCCUUCGGGAACUCUGAGACAGGUGCUGCAUGGCUGUCGUCAGCUCGUGUUGUGAAAUGUUGGGUUAAGUCCCGCAACGAGCGCAACCCUUAUCCUUUGUUGCCAGCGGUUCGGCCGGGAACUCAAAGGAGACUGCCGGUGAUAAACCGGAGGAAGGUGGGGAUGACGUCAAGUCAUCAUGGCCCUUACGGCCAGGGCUACACACGUGCUACAAUGGCGCAUACAAAGAGAAGCGACCUCGCGAGAGCAAGCGGACCUCAUAAAGUGCGUCGUAGUCCGGAUUGGAGUCUGCAACUCGACUCCAUGAAGUCGGAAUCGCUAGUAAUCGUAGAUCAGAAUGCUACGGUGAAUACGUUCCCGGGCCUUGUACACACCGCCCGUCACACCAUGGGAGUGGGUUGCAAAAGAAGUAGGUAGCUUAACCUUCGGGAGGGCGCUUACCACUUUGUGAUUCAUGACUGGGGUGAAGUCGUAACAAGGUAUC
rnacentral:rRNA from 1 species